UUCGCAAUGCCCGAAAGGGUGACGAAGCGACGCCGCGUGCGGGAAGAGGGCCUUCGGGUUGUAAACCGCUGUCGGGAGUUAAGAAAUGUAAGGAUGUUAAUAGCAUCUUUGCUUGACUAAGGCUCCGGAGGAAGCCACGGCUAACUCUGUGCCAGCAGCCGCGGUAAUACAGAGGCGGCAAGCGUUGUUCGGAAUUAUUGGGCGUAGAGAGCACGUAGGCGGCUAUGUAAGUCGGUUGUGAAAGCCUUCCGCUCAACGGGAGAACAGCAUCCGAUACUGCAUGGCUUGAGUGCGGGAGGGGAGAGUGGAACUUCUGGUGGAGCGGUGAAAUGCGUAGAUAUCAGAAGGAACGCCGGCGGCGAAAGCGGCUCUCUGGCCCGUAACUGACGCUGAGUGUGCGAAAGCUAGGGGAGCAAACGGGAUUAGAUACCCCGGUAGUCCUAGCCGUAAACGAUGGGCACUAAGUAGAGGGGUUUU
rnacentral:rRNA from 1 species